rnacentral:rRNA from 1 species
UACGUAGGGUGCAAGGCGUUAAUCGGAAUUACUGGGCGUAAAGCGUGACGCAGGCGGUUAUGUAAGACAGAUGUGAAAUGCCCGGGACCUUUAACCUGGGGAACUGCAUUUGUAGACUGGCAUGGCUAGAGGUUUGGGCAGAGGGGGGUAGAAUUCCACGUGAUGAGCAGUGAAAUGCGUGAGAUAUGUGGGAGGAACAACCGGAUGGCGCCA